GACGAACGCUGGCGGCGUGCUUAACACAUGCAAGUCGAACGGUAAGGCCCUUCGGGGUACACGAGUGGCGAACGGGUGAGUAACACGUGGGUGAUCUGCCCUGCACUUCGGGAUAAGCCUGGGAAACUGGGUCUAAUACCGGAUAGGACCACUGCCUGCAUGGGUGGUGGUGGAAAGCUUUUGCGGUGUGGGAUGGGCCCGCGGCCUAUCAGCUUGUUGGUGGGGUGAUGGCCUACCAAGGCGACGACGGGUAGCCGGCCUGGGAGGGUGACCGGCCACAGUGGGACUGGGAUACGGCCCAGACUCGUACGGGAGGCAGCAGUGGGGAAUAUUGCACAAUGGGCGCAAGCCUGAUGCAGCGACGCCGCGUGAGGGAUGACGGCCUUCGGGUUGUAAACCUCUUUCAGCACCGACGAAGCGCAAGUGACGGUAGGUGCAGAAGAAGGACCGGCCAACUACGUGCCAGCCGCCGCGGUAA
rnacentral:rRNA from 1 species